UCUACGAUUUGCACGCCGGUCGAGGAGUGUCGUGCGCAGCCGUCACCUCCAAAGGUAUAGGAGACUGCACCGGACCGAGCGAGUUGAGCAUGCUUGUCUGCGCCACGCCGGUUUCCUGAGACGGACCGGGCGCGCGGGAAGUUCCCAAUGCCGCCGCGGGCGAGUCCGGAGCCGGGAAUUGGAUUACCUCAGCUCUGCGGGUCGACUCUCGUGCUCUUUGACUGCCACAGCUUCUCUCAGUUGGCUUUAGUCAGUCGCCGCGCAAAGUACAGUCUCUUGUCAGGUCCCGGUCCGUAUACAACAUCGUCUUCGCUGAGACGUUUGAGAAGCUUGUGGUGCGCAGAACGUUGAUCGUUUGUUGGGUUGGUUGGGCUGUGUGAGGUGCCUCCUCAUGCGCGCCGCGGCGACAGUUGACUUAUUUAUUUACGACCCGGACGUGCACCUUAAGCGUGCGAAACAAGAACGCUGAUCGAAGCUUUCGCGAAAGUGCUGUUCUUCCGAAAUCCGAACUUCUCUCUCGCAAAAGGGGAAUAAAUCAUGUGAUAAAAUAAUAACGAAUGAAAUGUUUAUACGCGUGUAUAUCUGUAUUUCAUAACGACAAUUACAUGGAAGGCGCGUACAAGAUUCGAACGGAAUUGAACAUGUUUAUUCGCCCUUUUUUUCGUGAUAUGUGCCUUUCCAGGUUUGGUGUCUGUGCGGAGGUCUUGUGUAUCGGGAGUGUAACCUUGCAGUUUAGUUCACCGUGAAGAACGAGAAUAUUUAUGCAUAAAGCAUUGCGGGGCUCAAACGAGUUAUUUUCAGUUUGGUAGUGCUGCAUAUCGCUUUCGGUUCCUUGGUUGGAGGUGUACCUAUGCUGGUGUUCAUUAAUUUCGAGCCCCAAGUCGUUGUUGGCUGUCGUCGUCAUCACAUCGGCGGAGCAGCUGCAGCAGUCGAUAAAAGGUGGAAUAAUGUGAUUGGGUGUGCAUACCCAUACCCAACUAAAUCAUCGAAACCAUCAAGUGGCCGGCGGCUGCGGCGCAACGAAAACCGCUCUUUUGAGACUCACCGUGAUCGUCAAGUGUUCUAGAGUAAAAGUGUUAAUUUUAUUGAUUACAUUUUACCGCCUCGCCUCGUCGUCAUUUUCCCUUAAGUCAUUGGCCAUUACCUUCUAUUACACAGGGGAUGAUGAUCUCUUCAUUCAGCGUGAUUUUACUCUAGCUGACUCGGAAAGUUACGCGCACGGCCCAGCCUGUGAAUGUCUAACCCAGUGAAGAUAGUGAAAAAAUGUACUUAUACUAGCAGCGAUUUUUCGGUUGCGUCUGUUUAAUGCCACUUCGCCGGAGCUGCUACCGUGGAGACCCCAAAAUGCUGCAAAAAGUGUGUUAAUAAAUAGUGUUUAAAGAUCACUGAACUUGUGGACUAGUGGAUGCCAGCGAAGGAGAAGAAAUAAAAAACGUGUGUUGUCUCGAGAGAGGGGAAAAAGUUGAUGAUUUUCGUAAUUAUUGGCCCGGCUGCAAUUACUGUGUGGUGGGACCUGAGAAAAAAAACAUCCAACGUGAGCGAGUGAGUCAGAUUGAAGCUGCAGCGUGACGCUUUUUUGCGAUAUGUCCCUUCAGAUCGGGAUGUUUGGCUGAUUAUUUGGAUUUUAUCAAGAAAGUUCCAUUGAGAGCAUGCACAUAAAUAAAGCUCGGUAAGUAUUACUAUAUGCCAUUGGUAGCCUCCAGCUCAUUUGAUAUCACCUUCUCUUAGUAUAACAUCAAGCAACUCGCUAGUUUAGUUCUUGCUUCGGUCUGGGGAAUCAUUGAAAUAGUAUG